rnacentral:rRNA from 1 species
GCUCCAACCUCGUAAAGUGAGCAGAGAGUAAGAAAAUCGUUCCUUAGCCAAAUGUUCCUGGAAAGGACAACCGUAGAAGGUGAGAGUCCUGUAGGCGAAAGGGAGCGGUCUCUCGGCGUAUUGUUGAGUACCACGGGACACGAGAAAUCUUGUGGGAAGCUGGGGGGACCACCCUCCAAGGCUAAAUACCCUUGGCCACCGAUAGUGAACCAGUACCGUGAGGGAAAGGUGAAAAGUACCCCGAGAGGGGAGUGAAAUAGACCUGAAACCGUAAACUUACAAGCCGUGGGAGCCUCGAGCUAGUCUUGGGGUGACCGCGUGCCUAUUGAAGGAUGAGCCGGCGAGUUAAUCUAGGCAGCUUGGUUAAGGAACAGAAGUUCUGGAGCCGCAGCGAAAGCGAGUCCUAAUAGGGCGCGAAUCGGGCGGAGGCAAGGCUGCCGGCGGAUUUCUCGAUAAGCACCGGCUUCGCUAUUUCGGAUUGGGUGGCUAGGGACGCAAGCCCCCGGUUACCCUGUAUACGCCGCAAGGCGUACCGGAUGGUGGGGUCGGAGCCUCGAGGAUGAAACCGGCGGACGAGUCUCCACCAAGCCCGGUGUGUUGUCUGGAUUAGACCCGAAACCGGGUGAGCUACCCAUGGCCAGGUUGAAGCCCCGAUAAUAUCGGGGUGGAGGACCGAACCCGUUUCCGGUGCAAAGGGAUGGGAUGAGCUGUGGGUAGGGGUGAAAUGCCAAUCGAACCCGGAGAUAGCUGGUUCUCCCCGAAAUGCAUUGAGGUGCAGCCUCGAGGGUGAAUGUUGGAGGUAGGGCUCUGGAUGGGCUAGGGGGCGUGAGCUUACCAAACUCAACCAAACCACGAAUGCCUCAAGAUGUUCCUUGGGAGUGAGACAGUGGGGGAUAAGCUCCAUUGUCGAGAGGGAAACAGCCCAGAUCGCAGGCUAAGGUCCCUAAGUGUGAACUAAGUGUGAAAGGAAGUGGGAUUCCUAAAACAGCUAGGAGGUUGGCUUAGAAGCAGCCACCCUUUAAAGAAAGCGUAACAGCUCACUGGUCGAGCGAGCCUGCACCGAAAAUUUAACGGGGCUCAAGUCAUGCGCCGAAGCUAUGGGAUUUAUAUUUAUAUAAAUCGGUAGGGGAGCGUUCCCUGUGCAGUGAAGCUGAAUCGAAAGGGUCAGUGGAGCGCAGGGAAGUGAGGAUGUUGGCAUAAGUAACGAAAAUGUGGGCGAGAAACCCACACGCCGAAAGCCCAAGGUUUCCCGGGCCAUGUUAUUCAGCCCGGGGUUAGUCGGCACCUAAGACGAGGCCGAAAGGCGUAGUCGACGGAAAACCGGUUCAUAUUCCGGUACUUGCAUGUGCGCGUGAUGGAGGGACGCAGGAGGAUAGGCCGGCCUGGUGAUGGAUAUCCAGGUUCAAGGCCGUAGGCGGAAGUCUCAGGUAAAUCCGGGACUUUAUCUAACGCCGAGAGUCGAUGACGAGAGGCUUUGCUUCGCAAAGCGGUCGAUUCCACACUGCCAAGAAAAGCUUCUAAGCAUAGCAGAUGCAAACCGUACCCCAAACCGACACAGGUGGGCGGGUAGAGAAUACCAAGGCGCUUGAGGGAAAUCAUGUUAAGGAACUCUGCAAAAUAACUCCGUAACUUCGGAAGAAGGAGUGCCUGCAGCGGUGAAGGGACUUGCUCCUGGAGCUUAAGCGGGCCGCAGUGACCAGGCCCAGCCGACUGUUUAGCAAAAACACAGCACUCUGCUAAAUCGCAAGAUGAUGUAUAGGGUGUGACGCCUGCCCGGUGCCGGAAGGUUAAUGGGAGGGGUUACCCCGCUUCUAAAUGGUUUUUUGAUUAAAAACGCAAAUGCAUUAUGUUUAUAUCAUACAUAGUGAUAAUGACCAGUUCUACAUUGGUUAUAGUUCUGAUUUAAGAGCAAGUAUAACUGCUCAUAAUGAAGGACAAACCAAGUCAACAAGAGGACGAAUAUGGAAAUUAGUUUACUAUGAAGCAUAUCUGGAUGAGAAAAGUGCUCGUCACAGAGAGAGGAUGUUAAAACAUGAUGGUCGCACUCGUCGAUAUUUGAUGGAGCGAGUUAAAGAAAGCGUAAAGAAUCAUUUAGUAGCGGGGGAAGCUCCGAACUGAAGCCCCGGUAAACGGCGGCCGUAACUAUAACGGUCCUAAGGUAGCGAAAUUCCUUGUCGGGUAAGUUCCGACCUGCACGAAUGGCGUAACGAUCUGGGCGCUGUCUCAAUGUGAUUCUCAGUGAAAUUGAAAUGGCGGUGAAGAUACCGUCAACCCGCGGCAAGACGGAAAGACCCCGUGCACCUUUACUGCAGCUUGGCAGUGAACUUGGGAAAGAUUUGUGUAGGAUAGGUGGGAGGCUGCGAAGGGGGGGCGCUAGUCCCUCUGGAGCCAUCCUUGAAAUACCACCCUGAUUUUUUCUGUGUUCUAACUUAGUCCCGUUAUCCGGGACAAGGACCCUGUCUGGUGGGCAGUUUGACUGGGGCGGUCGCCUCCCAAAGAGUAACGGAGGCGCGCAAUGGUUCCCUCAGCCGGUUUGGAAAUCCGGCGCAGAGUGCAAAGGCACAAGGGAGCUUGACUGCAAGAGCGACAGCUCGAGCAGGUACGAAAGUAGGUCUUAGUGAUCCGGUGGCCCCGUGUGGAAGGGCCAUCGCUCAACGGAUAAAAGGUACGCCGGGGAUAACAGGCUAAUCGCGCCCAAGAGUUCAUAUCGACGGCGCGGUUUGGCACCUCGAUGUCGGCUCAUCGCAUCCUGGGGCUGAAGCAGGUCCCAAGGGUAUGGCUGUUCGCCAUUUAAAGCGGUACGCGAGCUGGGUUCAGAACGUCGUGAGACAGUUCGGUCCCUAUCUGCCGCGGGCGCAGGAGAUCUGAGGAGGUCUGCCCUUAGUACGAGAGGACCGGGGUGGACAGACCUCUGGUGAUCCGGUUGUUCCGCCAGGAGCAUUGCCGGGUAGCUACGUCUGGAACGGAUAACCGCUGAAAGCAUCUAAGCGGGAAGCCGGCUCCAAGAGCGAUCUCCCGGACCAUUAGGUCCCCAAAGGCCGCAGGAAGAUUACCUGUUUGAUAGGCCGGAAGUGGAAGCAUGGCAACAUGUGAAGCUGACUGGUACUAAUUGGCCGGGCGGCCUGACUUA